rnacentral:rRNA from 1 species
GACUCUCGACAACGGAUAUCUCGACUCUUGCAUCGACAAAGAACAUAGCGAAAUGCGAUACUUGGUGUGAAUUGCAGAAUCCCAUGAACCAUCGAGUCUUUGAACGCAAGUUGCACCCGAAGCCAUUAGGGCGAGGGCACGCCUGCCUAGGUGUUG